CUGAUAAAAAUAUUAAAGGGCUGCAGUAUUUUGACUGUACAAAGGUAGCAUAAUCAAUAGUCUCUUAAUUAGUGACUUGUAUGAAAGAUUGGAUGAAAUAUAUAUUGUCUCUUAUUUAUAUAAAGAAUUUAAUUUUUUGAUUAAAAAGUCAAAAUUUAUUUAAAAGACGAGAAGACCCUAUAGAGUUUAAUAUUUUUAUUAAUUAAGGUUUUAUAUUUGAAUAAUAAUUGAAAUUAUUGAAAAUAUUUUAUUGGGGUGAUAAAAAAAUUAAUUUAACUUUUUUUUUAAGUUUUACAUUAAUAAGUGGUUAUAUGAUCCAAAAAUUUUGAUUAUAAGAAAAAAUUACCUUAGGGAUAACAGCGUAAUUUUUUUUUUUAGCUCAAAUAAGAAAAAAAGUUUGCGACCUCGAUGUUGGAUUAAGAUAAAAUUUAUAUGCAAAAGUAUAAAAUUUUGAUCUGUUCGAUC
rnacentral:rRNA from 1 species